UUUGGUUCAUACUCUAUCUUGUUUUAAGCAGAGAAUUUGAAGGAGGAACAUACCUUUAUUCAUACGUCAUUACCAAACAACUAAGACAUGUGGUUUCUUGCUGCAAUUACUGGAGUUGUUGGAAAGAUUGCUGAGUUCACAGUUCCACCAGUUAUACGCCAAGUGGGUUAUGUAAUCCACUACAACAAGAACCUCAAAAAACUAGAGAGUCGAGUAGAUGACUUGGGUGAGGCCAGAGAAAGAAUGAAGCAUGCUGUUGAAACAGAGAAAAGAAAAGGUAGAGAAAUUGAAGCAGGUGUCCAGAACUGGCUGACUAAAGUGGAUGAGAUGAUUGAAAAAGCAAACAAUUUCUUGAAAGAUGGACAGCAUGCAGAGACUAGAUGUCUCCAUGGCUUUUGUCCUAAUCUAAAGCAUCGCCAUCAUCGCAGCAGGAAAUCAACAAAAUUGGUUAAAGAAGUUGCUGAGCUCUGUGGGAAAAAGGAUUUUGGCGAUAUUGCAUACGAUGUCGAACCAGAGGAGGUGUGCAGCACACCUGCUAAAGAUUACCAGGUCUUUGAUUCAACGACUUCGGUUGCGAAGGAAAUCAUGAAUGAACUGAGACAAUCUGAUACCGACAUAAUUGGGGUGUACGGUAUUGGGGGUGUGGGGAAGACAACGCUUGCUACAGAAGUUUAUCGGCAAGCCACAGAAGAUAAAACUUUAUUUGAUGAUGUUGUUAUAGUACAAGAUGUGAAAAACAUUCCAGAUUUGCAUGGAAUUCAAAAAAGAAUUGCUGAAAAGUUGGGAAUGGACUUUCUCGGAGAUGAGACUACAGACAAAAGAGCUAGUCGUCUUUUUAGUAGGAUAAAAAAGAAUAAAGUUCUGGUAAUUUUGGAUGACAUACAUGCAAAAAUAGAUUUGGAGAUUGUGGGAGUUCCACGUGUGUCGAAUUGUAAAGUAUUGUUGACAUCUAGAACUAGAGAAGUAUUAUCGGGUGAGAUGCAUACACAAAAGGAGUUUCAACUUGACCUUUUAGAUGCAAAAGAAAACUGGAGUUUAUUUGAGAAGAUGGCAGGUGAUGUUGUUCAAAAUCCUGCCAUACGAGAAGUAGCAAUAGAAGUAGCCCAAAAGUGCGGAGGCUUGCCGCUUUUAGUGGUAACAGUUGCAAGGGCCCUGAAGGAUAGAAGUGCAUUAUAUGCUUGGAAAGAUGCCGUGCGACGCCUAAAAAUAUUUGAUAAAGAAGGAUUCACGGAAAAAUCAUACUUGGCUCUGGAGUGGAGUUACGAGCAAUUGGAUGAUAAGGAACUUAAGCCAUUGUGCUUGCUAUCUGGAAUUAUGAGGGAUUACUCUAUGAAUCUUCUUGACUUGCUGAAAUACAGUAUGGGCUUAGGUUUGAUUAAAAACGUGGAUACGAUGGAAGAAGCACAGAAUGCACUACAUUCACUGGUUGAAAAACUUAAAGAUUCUUGUCUAUUGCUAGAAGACAGUGAUAAUAAUAAAUAUUUUAGAAUGCAUGAUCUUGUUCAUGAAGUUGUAAACCAGAUUGCCUUGAGAGAGCAACAUGUCUUCAAAGUUACUAUUGGAGAUGAGUUCAAAGAAUGGCCAGCUAAGGACUUUUGUAAAAAGAGCACUAUGAUCAUUCUUGAUAACUACAGUAUUCCCCAUCUUCCUGAAGGUUUGGAAUACCCAGAACUGGAAAUGAUUACCUUUUGUAGUAGCGAUUUUGAUCACUGCUUGGAAAUUCCCAGAAACUUUUUUGAAGGGAUGAAGAAACUCAAAGUGUUGGACUUCACUAAUUUGAGUAUCCCAACGCUACCUCCAUCUCUCCAAUUCCUAAAAAGUCUUCGGACAUUGUGUUUGGAUGCCUGCACCUUGGGAGACCUAGCUUUAGUUGGAGAGCUAAGAAACUUAGAAAUGCUUAGCUUUUUAAAAUCCAAGUUUAGAAAGUUGCCCGAAGAAAUAGGGCAAUUGACACGUCUGCGAUUGUUGGAUUUGAAUGGUUGCUCUCAACUCGAAGUGAUUUCACCUAAUGUUAUAUCAAACUUGAAAAGGUUAGAAAACUUGAGAAUGGGUGAUAGCUUCAACCGAUGGGAGGGUGAAGAAGUCAUCAGUAGUGAAAGAAGAAAUGCACACCUUGAAGAGCUAAAGCACUUGCCUCAGCUAACUGCUUUACAAAUACAUAUCUCAGAUGCUAACAUCGUUCCAGCAGAUUUGUUUACCACUAGUGAGUUAAAGAGAUUCCAAAUAUGUAUUGGUUCUGCGUGGAAAUGGGAUAAUGUGGAUGAAGCCCUCAAUGUACUAAAGCUCCGACUCACCGCUAGCAAUGAAUUGGACCAAGGUCUAAGAAUGUUGCUAAAAAGAACUGAAGACUUGUACUUGGAGGGGACGGAGGCUGUUAAUAAUAGUAUUGUCUAUCAAAUAGGUGUCGAAGGUUUUCAGAAAUUGAAGCAUCUCCAUCUCCAAACGACUGCCGAGUUUACGUAUAUCAUAAAUGGGAAGGUUAGGUAUCCCAACUUGACAUGGUUGGGGGUGAAUGAACUCAAUGGUUUAACAUUCUUGUUAUCAUCUUCAAUGGCUAGAAGCCUUGCACAACUCAAACGCCUUCAUGUAUCAGGAUGUCAAAUAAUGGAAGAGAUAGUAUCAAUAGAAGAAUCUGAUGAAGAAAUUGUAGACAACUUCUUUUGCCAGCUACAAAUUCUGGAGCUAAAAGACCUUCCAAAUCUCACUAAAUUCUGCUCAAGAAACCAUAUUGAACUUUCAAAUCCAUCCUCUGGGAUACAACACUUUCUUUUUGACAAUAAGGUAGAGUUUCCAAACUUGAAGAAGUUAUCCAUUGAUGGUCUAGCAAACUUGACGACAAUAUGGAACAAUCAAUUUUCUCUAGAGAGUUCAAAAAAUCUAGAGAUAAUUGAAAUUGUUUCAUGUGACAGUUUGAAAAGUAUUUUUCCAGUUUUGGUGGCUAGAAAUCUCCAGCAGUUAAAAAGGCUGACAGUGAAGAGUUGUGGAGCUCAGGAAAUUGUUGCAAAGGAAGAGUCACUACAAACAACACCUAAGUUUGUGUUUCCAAAAGUAACAGAAGUGAUUUUUAGUGAUAUGUCACAACUCAAGAAUUUCUACCCAGGAAUGCAUGUGUCCGGCUGGCCGUCUCUUAAUAAGUUGAGGGUGGUAGAAUGUGCUAAAGUCAAUGUAUUUGCCGAGGAAAUCUCAAGUUUUCAAGAACAUAAUGAGCCGGAACGUCUUAGUGUUCUUAUCUCGCAGUCUCUCUUUUUAAUUGAUAAGGAUUCAUUUCCCAACUUGGAAUGGUUGUUCGUGAGAGCAAUGGAGCCACUCCCAGCAGCAGCAGCGCAAUUGUUUAGCAAACUAAAGCAUCUUGAGGUUUGUUGUCCGGAGUCCAAGUCAGUUGUUUUCCUUCACAAAUCACUCGACUCAGAAGGAAACAGCAAUAGUAGUGCAGUUGGGAUUGGGACCCAGCAGCUCCCACAUUUAAAAGAGUUGUGGCUUCUUCGAAUGGAGAAGCUGACGAAUCUAGGCCAAGAUGAUGAAGAGGAUAACUUACAAUCAGCCCCCCGCAUCCCAAAUUUUCCCAACUUGGAAAUUCUAUACGUGAAUGGUUGCGACAGCUUAAGGAAUCUUAGAUCAUCAGCAAUAUCCUUCAACACUCUAACAACUCUGCAAGUAAGUGUUUGCAAGGGGCUGAAAUACUUGAUAACUUACUCCAUGGCCAAAAGUUUAACGCAGCUCACAGAAUUGGAAGUUGUGGAGUGUAAGAGACUGGUAUAUAUAGUGGCAAGCAAUGAAGAUGACGAUUCAUUAGGAAAUUAUGAGAUUACAUUCAGGCGGCUGAAACAUAUGAAACUAUCAAGUCUACCAAGAAUGCAAGGCUUUUGCUCCAGAAAUUGCAUUGCUAAAUUCCCGUCCUUGAAAACUUCAAGCAUGAGCAACCGCCUCAAAUUGAAGAUUUUCGAAGCUCAUAACCAAACGCUACAGCUAACGGACGAAGAGGCAGACACAGAUGUCGAUUACUUCGAGGCAAGUCUGAUUGCUGAGGAUAAAAGGAAUUCGGCAAGUACUGAUUGAUAUCUUAACCAGAUUUCACUGCUUUGUUGACUAUGAAUAAGGCUUUUAGGAGUAAGAAAUAAGAAUAAAGGUUGAUUUGACAGUGAAGCUCCAAAACUCCAGAAAUCAUUACCGUGUCUGAGAGGCUUCUCAUCAUUUCUGCUUUUAAAUAGUGAAGCUCAUCCAAGUUAUCAAGAUGAGGUGGACAUCGAGUUUUUGGGGACUGCAUUUUGAACGCCUAUACUAUACAGACCAAUGUUUACAUCAGAAAUAUUAAAGUGAUCAAUUUAUCAAGGACCGAACACAAUUUGCCAAGAGCCCUGCAAAUCAUGAAGUUCCGAUUUUCCUGCUCAAAGUCUUAUCUCCUCCAGUAGGAAUCAUUGAUGAUAGUAACUUAACUGUUUAGUCGGAGCUAAAAUCAAAUAGACAAAUUGUGGAUGAAAGUCUGUUCAAAGAUAGCAAGAUGGAUGUGACCAAGGUACAGAUAGAUGGUUUAAUGCAGAAGUAGGAAUGGACUGUACAUGAGGUGUCUGUAGCAAAAUCAGCUUCAGAUAUCAUUAUGAAAUGAUAUCGGAGGUUAUGGAUGGAUCUGAUGAAAAGAUCUCAGUUGAGGAUGAAAGAACCUCAUUGUGAAGGAGCACAAGAUUUGGUAGUUGUGAAAGAUUCUAAUUAUGUUACUACUGUUCAAUAUGUGUUGCCACAUACAGUAAACAAAGCCCCAAGUGUUGUGAAAACUGUUGAGCCCAUUUCAUUGACUCUGAGUUCAAUUCCCACUAAGAGACCGGCAAGCAAGAGUUUUGAUGUGAAUGUGGCUGCCACUGUGAUAGAGCCUAAAGAAGCUUCAAGGUUGAGGCAUUGGGUGAUUACGAUGGGAAAUUAUAUUUUGAAUCAGGUUCCAGCGCGGAAGAUGAUUAUGAGAAUGAGGGCACUGAAGAUGAGGUAGUGGCUGAAGCUUCAUAUGAGCUUUAGGAUAACAUAAAUGCUAUCAUGGAGGCAAGUGAAGAAGAAGAUCCUGAGGAUGAGAUCUCUGAAGAUGAGUCGGUUGAUGAAGCUUCAUCUGAGCUUCAGGAUAACAUGAAUGAUAUCAGGAAACAAAUGAAGAGGAAGGCUGUUGCCUCUGAGAGUGAGACAGUAUAGUGUUUAUGUAGCCUACUUAGAAUUUACAUUUUUGAAAUGUGUCAAUAUGCACUGACAUAUCUUUUGGAUCGAUUGAACUAAUUCUAAUUUUCUUUUAUUAAAUGA